GUCCAUGCCGUAAACGAUGAAUACUAGGUAUUGGGCCCGUCAACGGUCCAGUGCCGCAGCUAACGCGUUAAGUAUUCCGCCUGGGGAGUACGGUCGCAAGACUGAAACUCAAAGGAAUUGACGGGGGCCCCGCACAAGCGGUGGAGCAUGUGGUUUAAUUCGACGCAACGCGAAGAACCUUACCAAGGCUUGACAUGGGAAAGACUGUACGAGAGAUCGUGCUUCUCCAGCAAUGGAGCUUUCCACACAGGUGCUGCAUGGCUGUCGU
rnacentral:rRNA from 1 species